AAAAAGAGAUGAGGAACCCUGAACUGAAAUAAAUAAUUGUUCCGAUGGAACCUUCUCUUCUACCGUAGAUUGGAUGUAGAUACACGACCCAAACCAUUACUCUUUUCUAUUCAUUAUUCUUUUUAUUACAUUUUAGAAUUCUGAAGGACAUCGAUCUUUCGCCUUGCGCAAGGAUAUCUCUCUUUUCUUAGACUCCAUAAGGAGAGAAUAGUCCACUUGGGUGGAAGGGGAGGCCAGGUUUUAUUUUACCUGGGCCAAAGCAAGGAUAUCUCUCUUUUCUUAGACUCCAUAAGGAGAGAAUAGUCCACUUGGGUGGAAGGGGAGGACAUAUUUUAUUUUACCUGGGCCAAAGACUUUCCCCUCUGCUCUUCCUGGAAAAGUCG
rnacentral:lncRNA from 1 species